rnacentral:rRNA from 1 species
UACGUAGGGUGCAAGCGUUAAUCGGAAUUACUGGGCGUAAAGUGUGCGCAGGUGGCCGCGCAUGUCGAGUGUGAAAUCCCCGGGCUUAACUUGGGAAUUGCGCUCGAAACUACGUGGCUGGAGUGUGGCAGAGGAAGGUGGAAUUCCAGGUGUAGCGGUGAAAUGCGUAGAGAUCUGGAGGAACGACCGAUGGCGCAAGCAGCCUUCAUGGGGUCGCACCGUGGACCGCUGAGCCGCGAAAGCCAGGGGAAGCGGAACGGGAUUAAGCAAACCCCGAGUAACCGUACCGACGAGCAACAUCG